UACCAGCACCCCGAGUGGUCGGGACGAUUAUUGGGCCUAAAGCAUCCGUAGCCGGUCCUGCAAGUCUUCCGUUAAAUCCAGCUGCUCAACAGAUGGGCUGCGGAGGAUACUACAGGGCUAGGAGGCGGGAGAGGCAAGCGGUACUUUAUGGGUAGGGGUAAAAUCCGUUGAUCCAUAGAAGACCACCAGUGGCGAAGGCGGCUUGCCAGAACGCGCUCGACGGUGAGGGAUAAAAGCUGGGGGAGCAAACCGG
rnacentral:rRNA from 1 species